rnacentral:rRNA from 1 species
GAUGAACGCUAGCUACAGGCUUAACACAUGCAAGUCGAGGGGCAGCAUGAAGUUUGCUUGCAAACUUUGAUGGCGACCGGCAGAUGGGUGAGUAACGCGUAUCCAACCUGCCCCCUUCCCGGGCACAGCCCUUGGAAACGAGGAUUAACUCCCGAUGGCGUCGCCUUAACGCAUGUUUCGGCGACCAAAUGCUUAAGGAAGGGGAUGGGGAUGCGUCCCAUUAGCUUGUUGGCGGGGUAACGGCCCACCAAGGCUCCGAUGGGUAGGGGUUCUGAGAGGAAGGUCCCCCACACUGGAACUGAGACACGGUCCAGACUCCUACGGGAGGCAGCAGUGAGGAAUAUUGGUCAAUGGAGGCAACUCUGAACCAGCCAAGUAGCGUGAGGGACGACUGUCCUACGGGUUGUAAACCUCUUUUGUCGGGGAAUAAACCGCGCCACGUGUGGCGCUCUGCAUGUACCCGCAGAAUAAGGACCGGCUAAUUCCGUGCCAGCAGCCGCCGUAAGAC